CUGUACAUAAUAAGGCAUUAACCCGUGUGAUGUUUUUAUGAAACUCGUUUUCGGCUCGUUUCAUAAAUCCAUACUGGUAUUUUAAUGCCUAUCAUUAUGUAGCAGUGACAUAAACUACUAUUAGGUGUUAGUAUGAAAAUGGAAAAUGUUAGUUCACUACUUACCUUUCUACGAGACCGCAUGCGAAAUAGCAAAAUGCCCAUUCUUUUUCACUAAAAUCACAUCACCAUUGGAUCUUUAUAAUAUUUGGUAUCGUACAUAACAUCAUAAACUUUAUAUUGACAGGCACUCGCAAGCUUUGGAAAAAUGUUACUAGACAUACCUUUAGGAUUUGUGGAGGCAUGCAAAGAUGGAGUGGCGGCGAUAGAAAAAACCUUUCUUGCUAUAGUUAGAGGAAUAUUGUAAGAUAUUGAAGACUAGUUUGAAAUAUAAACAAAUAAAUUAAUUUAAUUCUAGGCAUUGCGUUUCACUUGCAAACCACACGUUUCAAUUAAAACGAACGAAUAUACCAGAAGUGUUAAAAGCUUUUUUUAUGCAAAUGCUUGUUAACAAAGUGAGACCGAAAUUAUCAUAACAAACAAGUCGCCAUAACAGCUGUCAGAUCAAAUUGUCGUCAUUUUGAUUCGUCGUUGCCUCGAAGUCAUACUAGAUAUGUGAAAUAAAAUAAUGUUAAAACAUUUAACUUGUUUUAUGUUAAUACUUUAUGUCGUCUGUGAUGAUACGAUAAACGAAAAGCUACAUAACAACAACAACACGGAAAAAUCACAAACUGUAAAUCAAACAAAUGAUGACAGAUCAAGCGCACAAAAUCCCAGUAAUAAUAAAAUCAUCAACUCAGUGAGUAAGGGGCUAAAAGCUGUGACCGAUGGAGCAAUACAAAUUAUAACCGGCGUCAUAGAGGUUGGUUCCGGGAUACUCCGCGCAAUAACGAAUUGGUUCGAUGGCGGUCAAAAAAGUUAAUACAUACCUACAUGUCCUACAUGUAACUACGACAACAUGUUAUGGCGUCACUAUUUUAUUAAGCAUGUUUUUAUUUAUUCCAAGUGGAUCUUUAGAAAAAUGUAAACAAAAUAAAAACAUGUAACUCAGUCGUUCGUGCAAUAACAUGAUUCCAUAGAAGAUGAUGGCGGAUGGCUAGAUGUCGGCGGCCGAUCGUAAGAUCAGGCAUAUCGUGAAAUUCCUAGGCAUAUCGUGAAACGUGAAAAUCUUUGACUCCUUCCCUGAGUCGACGGAGCCCCGCUACGCGGGGCUCCUAUUUCUGGGCAGUUUGCCCUUCGGGCAUCUGAAGCAACCUAACGAACCUAUCCUACCUAUCUAUUGAGUUAAAGUGACUAUCGUCAAAAUAUUACACAGGAACAUUACGAUCUGCCUAUGACAUAGAUAUAAUACGUAAUGUUUUACCUCAUCGGCCGACAGACAAUGUGUUUUAAGAGAUUAAUAAUGUUUGCACUUCAGUGCAGCUGUUAGAUUACGUACACAGGUUAAUUGUUUUAAAAUAAGAAAUAUAAAACUAAAUUUAAUAUCACAUUAAAUUUAUUUGAGUUCAGCAAUUUCAGCAUGUAAUAUUUUUAUUACGUUUUUCCUAAGACAAUAUGAUUUGAUUCAAAAGAUAGAUCCCAUAUUAUACAAGAUACAUAUGUACAUAAACUAUUACGGUUUUUAUAUAAGUAGUUAUACUUUUAUUAAGUUAUGUCAUAUUAAUGGUUGUUUAAAUUAUAAUAACAUUCUUUAUAGCACUCUGAAUGGUGGUUAUAAUACAGGAUGGUUCUUAUUGGCAUAUUAAAUAUAUCAUUGUAUUAAUAUAAAUUAAAUAUUAAGGUCAAUGUGGGGAACAAACCGUCUACAUGAUCUUUCGUUGCUUCUAACUCAGUUUUGUGCACACUUAUACUAGGUACGCUUCCAGAAGAUCGUUAGAGCAGAAGGAGCAAACCUCUUUCUUUCCGACUGUGUCUGAGUGACGUAUGUAUACAAAUACGAGAGUUCUUGCCUUAUUACGGUCUUCCGAACCGAAAAUGUUAUAUGCAUGAUUUCUCCACAUAGACCGUCGAUAUUUUUACGAGUGAGAAACAGUGUAGAUGUCAGUGAUGACUGAUGACAAAAUGAACAUUUUACAUGUUAUUUCGUAGCAAUAAUGUUUUAAAAAUACAGGUUUAGUAUUAUAUAACAAUAUAUUUUGUAAAUGGUUUCUAUGUUUAAUAUAGCUCUGUCAAAAAAAAAUACAAUUAUUAGGCCUCCCUUAUACCACUUUAAUUACGCUAAACACAUAAACAUAUCAACAAUAUGGCGCCCUAUUAGUACAGGUUGUAUUUUGAAUUUAAUAGUAAAUGUAUCUUAAAUAUGGUUAUGUAGUUUAAUUCACCCACAAUUUAAGUGAAUCCAUUGAGUGACGAAAAUUACCCAUAUAAAAAGUAUAACUCAUUUUCAUUGCACUAAGAAAUAAAUUGCAUUGUAGCUUAAUUAACGUUCUAUUAAGGCUUAUGCGAUGUAAGUCGUCGUCAAAUAUGUCAGAGCUCACAAAUAUCUGAGCAUGCCUCUGUUGUUAAGGCACUAGAGUGCGUGUUCCGAUAUUUUCGCCGAGACGCGGCGCAGGCCGCACCGAUAUAUCUGAUGGUGCUUAUACAACAAUUUGUAAAUCAACCCAUGGAUAACACACACAAGAUACAGUAACAUCACAAAGUUGUCAGUUGAACAAUACAUUAAUAUCCAAUAUGGCGCAUGAGAUGAAGGCCCCAAUAAACUUUUACUUUCAAUAAGCGUGGUGGUUUUGGUUAAUAUGACUACCAUUUACUGUACCUAACGACUAGACGAUGUCCUUAAAAAUAACAAGAGUGCUUAUAAACUAUCAAUAUCAAUAACAACUUAAUUAUAAUAAAAUAUUAAAAUCUGUAACGUAAAUGUAACGUAAAAUGUUGUACAUUUAAUAAGUACUAUUACGCUUGAAGUUUGAGCGGAAUUUGUAUAUUUUAAAUCAAUAAAUCGUAAUCAGAGUAAUCAAUUUGGCUAUUAGCUCACUUUGUAACUAAAUAAAUACCGGCAUCACACAUGGAUUCUAGGAGGCUAGCUGGACUGGAUAUUCAGAAGAGAUCACAUAAUAUAACAGUGCAGGAUAUUGAUCAAGCUCAGUCAACCAUAUCCACGCCUCUAUCCUCGUAAGACCCAGGGCAAUUUUAGCGCUUUUGAAUUUGGAACUUUCUUUUAUUUCUAUAAUAAGUUCAAAACUCGAAUUUAAAUUGUACUUGUACAAGUACACGGGGACUUACGAGGCUAUGUAAGGAAAUUAAAAUUAAAUAAAAGAGAGCCAUAGAUCGGAGGGCCUACCGCCAACAUAGAAAAAUCUAAAAACUUUUUCUGCCUUUGUAUCGAUCUUGCAUAUUGGAGCGAUAGAGAAGCAGAUAAUAAAAUAUCGAAUUUCGUUUUUCGCGGUAGGACCUCAGGGAACAAAAUGUAAUGACAACGGCGAAGUUUACGUUUUUAUAAUCAUUAUUUAAGUUAAUAAUUCAGUUCCAUGCUCAGAACCUUAAGCACUUAAGCAUGUCAAUUUGUUCCAUACAUUUCAAGUCAAACUCUCGUACAAAUACAUUCAAUUAUCCUAUUUAUUAAAAUAUAACAAAAAUAUGUACUUUAUUUUAAGGUAUGGCUUAAGAAAUGCAGAUAAAGUCAUAAUUAACUAUAUACUUUGCAAUACAAUUCCUUCAAAAUUAAAUGUAACUUUGGUUCAUAAACAAAAAUAAUUAGGUACAAUAAGCCCAAAACAUACGAUUUUUCAUUUUAGCAUUUACUUUAAGACUUAAGUCAAAAGAAGAUAAAACUUUUAAAAAAUAGGCAGACAAAAAGUUCAAGGCAUUGAAAUAAAGAUUGCAAACAAAGAAAAAAUAAUUUCAAGAAUACAACUUUCAAGAAAAAAGAAUAAGAAAGUUAACUACUUACAUGCAAUAUUACUGAUAGAACUUGUUAAGGCGGCCAUAAACCUUGUGCACAUGAUCCUAUAAAACAUAGGUACGACAGCGGCUCAUGAGACAAAAAUACUGGCCACUAAUAUGUACGAAUAGAAAACAAUAGUAUGACGUUCAUUUACAAGCAGGUAAGUGAAAAAUUAAUUAGGGGUAGAUCCGUUUUAUAAGUUUCUAUCCUCAUCUGUUAUUUGAUUCAUACCAUAACUAUAUUAUGUCGUAUAAUAUGUAGGUACUUAAAGAAAUUGCUAAUGGGUUGUAGCUAAACCAAGUGGGGGAAAGUGGUGUGAGAGUGUAUACUCGUAUUGAAAUAUCUGCAAUGGUUAACUUUAAAAGCUUAAAUUUGUAUUUUAAUGCUUAGAACGGUAGAUUAUUUAUUAUGGCAUAAAAUUUAAUAAAAAGGGAAAGUUCUUAAUUCUUUUUUCCAUGA